GAAUGCUGACAUAAGUAACGAUAAAGCGGGUGAAAAGCCCGCUCGCCGGAAGACCAAGGGUUCCUGUCCAACGUUAAUCGGGGCAGGGUGAGUCGACCCCUAAGGCGAGGCCGAAAGGCGUAGUCGAUGGGAAACAGGUUAAUAUUCCUGUACUUGGUGUUACUGCGAAGGGGGGACGGAGAAGGCUAUGUUGGCCGGGCGACGGUUGUCCCGGUUUAAGCGUGUAGGCUGGUUUUCCAGGCAAAUCCGGAAAAUCAAGGCUGAGGCGUGAUGACGAGGCACUACGGUGCUGAAGCGACAAAUGCCCUGCUUCCAGGAAAAGCCUCUAAGCAUCAGGUAACAUCAAAUCGUACCCCAAACCGACACAGGUGGUCAGGUAGAGAAUACCAAGGCGCUUGAGAGAACUCGGGUGAAGGAACUAGGCAAAAUGGUGCCGUAACUUCGGGAGAAGGCACGCUGAUAUGUAGGUGAAGCGACUUGCUCGUGGAGCUGAA
rnacentral:rRNA from 1 species